AACUUUCAACAAUGGAUCACUUGGCUCUCGCAUCGAUGAAGAACGCAGCGAAAUGCGAUAAGUAAUGUGAAUUGCAGAUUUUCAGUGAAGCAUCGAAUCUUUGAACGCACCUUGCGCCCCUUGGUAUUCCGAGGGGCAUGCCUGUUUGAGUGUCAUUGAAAUAUCAACCUUGGGUGGAUUUGCUUCCUCUCCGAUGGUUGGACUUUGGAGAGUGCUGGCGUCAGGUCGGCUCCUCUUAAAUGCAUCAGCGGAAAACUUUGACCUCUGGACGUCAGCGUGAUAAUCACGUUGCGCUGUCGACCGAGGUGUCAUCAUAAGGACCCGCUUCUAAUGGUCUUCGGACAGGACAUCAAAUUUGACCUCAAAUCAGGUAGGACUACCAGCUGCACUUAAGAAUAUCAAUAAGAGGAGGCU
rnacentral:misc_RNA from 1 species